rnacentral:rRNA from 1 species
GACGAACGCUGGCGGUAUGCCUAAUACAUGCAAGUCGAACGCUGAAGCACUCUGCUUGCAGAGUGUGGAUGAGUGGCGAACGGGUGAGUAACACGUGGGGAACCUGCCCAUAAGAGGGGGAUAACAUCCGGAAACGGGUGCUAAUACCGCAUAGGUGAUCAUAGCGCAUGCUUAGAUCAUUAAAGAUGGCUUCGGCUAUCGCUUAUGGAUGGCCCCGCGGCGUAUUAGCUAGUUGGUGAGGUAAUGGCUCACCAAGGCUGUGAUACGUAGCCGACCUGAGAGGGUGAUCGGCCACACUGGAACUGAGACACGGUCCAGACUCCUACGGGAGGCAGCAGUAGGGAAUCUUCCACAAUGGACGCAAGUCUGACGGAGCAACGCCGCGUGAGUGAAGAAGGUUUUCGGAUCGUAAAACUCUGUUGUGAGGGAAGAACAAGUGCCACCUAACUACUGGCACCUUGACGGUACCUCACCAGAAAGCCACGGCUAACUACGUGCCAGCAGCCGCGGUAAUACGUAGGUGGCAAGCGUUGUCCGGAAUUAUUGGGCGUAAAGCGCGCGCAGGCGGUCCUUUAAGUCUGAUGUGAAAGCCCACGGCUCAACCGUGGAAGGUCAUUGGAAACUGGGGGACUUGAGUGCAGAAGAGGAAAGUGGAAUUCCACGUGUAGCGGUGAAAUGCGUAGAGAUGUGGAGGAACACCAGUGGCGAAGGCGACUUUCUGGUCUGUAACUGACGCUGAGGCGCGAAAGCGUGGGGAGCAAACAGGAUUAGAUACCCUGGUAGUCCACGCCGUAAACGAUGAGUGCUAAGUGUUGGAGGGUUUCCGCCCUUCAGUGCUGGAGCUAACGCAUUAAGCACUCCGCCUGGGGAGUACG